GCAAAAUGGGUGAAAAAUGAAAAGAAUGAUAUAAAUUAAAGAUUUGGAAAGAUUAAGGAUAAGGUUAUAAUGAUCUAUGGGAUCUAGUAUCAAAAUCUGCAAUUUAAAUUCAAGUUUCUGAUCAUAAGCUCAUCACAAUGCAAAAUUAACAUUUUUUUUCUUCUCUGUUUGAUUAUUGAACAUAGUAUUAUUAACUAUACUUUCUUCAUACAACAUAAAAAAUGGUUCCAUCU
rnacentral:lncRNA from 1 species